CAUUAGAAAAGUUGAUAGGUAUCCCCUUG
rnacentral:piRNA from 1 species